UUGCAUUCUAACCACUGCACCACCAUGGCUCCUUGUUAAAUAAGUUAAGAAAGGGAUUGUUAUAAUGAUAAGAUAUAUUGUAUAGUUAAAGUAAGAAUGUAGUCAUUGACAUUAGAGCAAGGAAUUUGUAUUAAUCAUAAUUCUUAUUGCAUAAGAUAUUUGUACCCAGAUGACACGCAGUUUAAAGGGAAGGUGGAUUGGGUG